CGAACCGGCUUCAGCGACUACUGUAAACCGAGCAUUUCAGAAAACCAGAGGAAGAGGCUAAAGAGAAGAACGAACAGCUGACAGAAGGAAACACCAACAGAAGGAUAACGAAUAAACAUAGGAGUUUUGAGCUAAAGACAGAUGACCGAGACGAACGCAGACGAGGAAGACUGAAAAAUACAGAUCGUCACCUCCAGCACCAGGGUAUGCAUGUAUUGUAGCAAAAUCAAUCUCCCGAACAAGAUGGUUGCUAAUAAAAUCUGUGCUGACUUGGUAACCAGGAAUGUAUUGCUUCCUGUCAGGAAUCGAGUGCCCAUAAAGGCCUUCCAUGCCUAUUGACAACAAAUGCUUGUUGUCAAUGGAUUUAACAUACGGUGUCAUCUCUUGAACUCAUCCCUGUUAUAUUUAAAGGAGAUCAUUAGCAGAUGAUAUUAUAGUU